AAUGAAGUAUUAGAGGUCCCGCCUGCCCUGUGACAGCAGUGUUUAACGGCCGCGGUAUUUUAACCGCGCGAAGGUAGCGUAAUCACUUGUCUUUUAAAUGGAGACCUGUAUGAAUGGCAUAACGAGGGUUUAACUGUCUCCUUCCUCUAGUCAAUGAAAUUGAUCUGCCCGUGCAGAAGCGGGCAUAAUUACAUAAGACGAGAAGACCCUAUGGAGCUUUAGGCAAAUGAUCAAAUAAAUCAAACUCCUGUGCUUAAACAACCUUGAGGAACAAACACUCCUGAUCAAUAUGCCUUCGGUUGGGGCGACCGUGGAGGAAAAAGAAGCCUCCAAGUGGAAUGGGAAAACCUUUCAGCCAAGAGGAACAACUCUAAGCGCCAGAAAAUCUGACCAACAAUGACCCAGGAUGAGCCUGAUCAACGAACCGAGUUACCCUAGGGAUAACAGCGCAAUCCUCUCCCAGAGUUCAUAUCGACGAGGGGGUUUACGACCUCGAUGUUGGAUCAGGACAUCCUAAUGGUGCAGCCGCUAUUAAGGGUUCGUUUGUUCAACGAUUAAUAGUCCUAC
rnacentral:rRNA from 1 species